ACUCUAAUCAAUCAUCAAUCACUUCAAAAUCUUCUACAAAAUUAUGAACACGUAUCAAAACCCUAAUUGACAGCCGUAUUCAAUCAAAAUUGUAGUUUCUCAUACCUAUCAAAACCCUAAUUGAAACAUCAACCAUGAUAGAGGCAGCGAAACCAGGCAGUGGUUGUGUCUAGCGGCGGCAGUGGUGGUCUAAUGUUGAUGGUGGAGGAGUCGCGACAGCAGUGGGUUUGUGGUACUGGAAUCUUCAUCUCAAUCAUUCCCUACUCCAUCUAAUGUUUUACAGUGAUGCUGACAGCAUUCGUGUUAUGUGGGACAAAUUAACGCCUCGAGAUACCAUGAAGAACGCUGGUGUUCCAACCGUACCAAGAAGUGAUGGGCUAUUACAGCACUGAAGAAGGCAUCAAGUUAGCUGACGAGAUAGGCUUCCCUGUGAUGAUUAAGUCAAAUACAUUGGAAGAACUCAAGCCUUUGUUAAAUCACAAACUGCUGGAUGAAUUGGUUAGCAUCUCGCAUAGAAGGAAGAGUGGUUUUUACUACCAAUGUUCGUGAAGUAGGUAUAUGUGCACUUUAGGAAAGGAAACUUAAGGAACUGAAUCUAGUCAUGAGAAAUAUUACUUGAGAUCUGUAUAAUUUCAUUGAUGGCCUUGCUGACUUGACUUUGUAUACCCUUUUAAUUAGGGAUGAGCAUUUGGUACCGUGUACCAGUACCGAACUGUACCGGUAUAUUCAGUACCGGUACGGGUACCAAUUUUCUCUGUUUUCCGGAACAGGUACCGGUUCGAUACCAAACGGGUACCGUGCUCAUCUCUACUUUUAAUUAGACUUGAUGUCUUGCCUUUGAUGAUCAUGAAUAAGGAAUUUGUU
rnacentral:lncRNA from 1 species